CUGGUAUAACUACGAUGACGUCGGAUCGAGACUUCAGCAAGAAAGUGGCGAGAUUAAUAAGGAUUACUAUUUAACACGAAGUCAGAUAUCGUUUCUAGAACAAAGCGUACAGGAUAUCAUUCCGGAGGUUUCCUAUGACCUGACCUUAGUUGACUUAGGCAGCGGAGACUGCUCCAAAACGCGGUUUGUUAUAGACGAGCUGUUAAAAAGACACAAAACACUUACAUUUUACCCACUGGACAUUUCAGGAGAGUUUCUGUUGAAAGCAGCAACAAAAUUGACAGAGGAGUAUGGUGAAUCACUUGUAGUCCGACCUAUAGCUGCUGAUUAUGUGCAAGGAAUAGAACAACUGAA